rnacentral:rRNA from 1 species
GACGAACGCUGGCGGCGUGCCUAAUACAUGCAAGUAGGACGCAGUUGCGAACGGGUGAGUAACGCUUAGUUCACUACCUAUUAGAGGGGGAUAACUAUUGGAAACGAUAGCUAAUACCGCAUACUAGUAGAUGGACCUGCGUUGUAUUAGCUAGUGGGUAGGGUAAUGGCCUACCUAGGCAAAGAUGCAUAGCCGACCUGGGAGGGGGAUCGGCCAGACUGGGACUGAAACACGGCCCAGACUCCUGAGGGAGGCAGCAGUAGGGAAUCUUCAGGAAUGGGGGGAACCAUGACCGAGCAACGCGGCGUGAGUGAGGAAGGUUUUCGGAUCGUAAAGCUCUGUUGUUAAGGAAGCGGUACUUAACCAGAAAAGGAGGGCUAACUACGUGCCAGCAGCCGCGGUAAUUC